rnacentral:lncRNA from 1 species
GUGUAUAACUAUUGAAUAUAAAUAUUAAAAAUAUUAUUCUCUGAUAAUUUAAUUUUUUGAAGAAUAAUAAUUAUUUUAUAUAAUUUAAUAUGAUAAUAAAACAUGAAGCCUUGAGUUUGAGUCCCUCUGGACCCCUAGUCUCAUUUAAUAUUCUCGCAGGGAUAAAUCAAAAUAUCUGAACCCAGACGUGAAUAAAAAUGGUAAAUAUAAGUAUUAAAAAAUUCUUAAACUAUUGAAAAGAAUUAGUUGUUUUAUAUUCUUUAAUAUAGUAUGAAAGGUAGUAUGCUAGCUAUUUCGUUUAUUUCUUUUAAAAAUAAACUUUAGCUGAAAAUGUAAAGUAAUUAGGCUUCGAACUUGAGGCCUUGGAUACCAACUACCAAAAUUUUUGUCACUUGCGCUAAAGAUAGUCAAUAACAUAUGUUUUAUUAUAGCAAUUAACAUUGUUCAUCGUAUUUUGACCCAUCAAAUAUACCAUCCAGUCUUACGAAUUUGUCUUCUUAGCGUGUCGAGACUGAUUUAAGAUGAGUUGAUUUUUUAUAUAUAUAUU